rnacentral:rRNA from 1 species
AUUGAACGCUGGCGGCAUGCCUUACACAUGCAAGUCGAACGGUAACAGGUUAAGCUGACGAGUGGCGAACGGGUGAGUAAUGUAUCGGAACGUGCCCAGUCGUGGGGGAUAACUGCUCGAAAGAGCAGCUAAUUCCGCAUACGACCUGAGGGUGAAAGCGGGGGAUCGCAAGACCUCGCGCGAUUGGAGCGGCCGAUAUCGGAUUAGGUAGUUGGUGGGGUAAAGGCCUACCAAGCCUACGACCUGUAGCUGGUCUGAGAGGACGACCAGCCACACUGGGACUGAGACACGGCCCAGACUCCUACGGGAGGCAGCAGUGGGGAAUUUUGGACAAUGGACGCAAGUCUGAUCCAGCCAUGCCGCGUGCGGGAAGAAGGCCUUCGGGUUGUAAACCGCUUUUGUCAGGGAAGAAAAGGUUCUGGUUAAUACCUGGGACUCAUGACGGUACCUGAAGAAUAAGCACCGGCUAACUACGUGCCAGCAGCCGCCGCGGUAA